UGUAAAAUCUUGCAAAUCUGUUUCAUCAUCUCAUCUCACUCUGUGGUAUCUUUCCUGUGGACACCGAGUGCUUUGGGUCUGCAGAGAGCUGUGAACUGCUCACAAUGCCACGUAGAAUGAGCCAUCAUUUUAAAGACACAGAAAACUCUAGAGUCAAGGAACCAUUGUUGGAACAUGUCUGGAUCCCCAAAUGGCUGAAUGGAAGGCCACCCAGUGGACACCUGAUUCAGUUGCAACACGAGCAAGAAAUGAAAUCCUAUUAUGUGUAGGCAUGGGGAAUUUGCAGUUGUGCACAAUAAUAUUAAAAAGGACUACUGAGCAAUAAGUGGUCACUGAAAAGGUAAAGUGAUAUGACCAGA